CCAAUGUCCAUGGUCAGGAAACCGUAACCAUCUGUUGAUCAACGAGCUAGUCAACUAGAGGCUUACUAGGGACAUGGUGUUGUCUAUGUACCCACACAUGUAUCUGAGUUUUCUUUGAAUACAAUUAUAGCAUGGAUAAUAAACGAUUAUCAUAAACAAGGAAAUAUAAUAAUAACUAAUUUAUUAUUGCCUCUAGGGCAUAUUUCCAACAUUUUUUCCACAUAUUCGGUGGUACAUAAACGUUCAAAAAGUUAGUCUAAGUUAUUAUCCGGGAUUGAUGUGCUAUCUUAGUUUGUAUUGUUAUGUUGGAAAAUUGGAAUACAUUGAUAGCAUGUGUUUUUCUAUUACUUAUUGUUACAAGAAUUUAUAUUGACUGUAAUGGUGUUGAGCUGUGAUUGAAAACAUCUAGCAAAAUAUGUUCCAUUUAUUUGCUGGGUGUUGGUUCUUCAGCAACACACCACAGUAUUUCAUUGAUUUGGUUGAUGCUUGUUUGGUUGAUGCUGGUAUAAUAGGUAGUUGCAUGCAUUUAUUUAUCAUGCUACCACUAGACUGCCUGAUAAAAACUUGCUGAAUAUAUAUAUCUUUGACUAGCAACUGAUGGAAUAUAGCUCAUGUUCAUGUAAAUUCCCAUCCCACUCAAAGUGUGAAACACUUAUUCUUCUUCUUUGUACUCAACAUCCAGGCAUCACACCUGAAUAUAUAUAUGCACAUAUUUAUGUAUGUAGUUAUCUGUCACACGCAUGAAGCAGUCUUGUUUGUUUUGGGAUGUAGUAUCACCACUUAAUUUGUUCCCUGUCUGCCUCCUUCCUAAAAUUCUGACUGUAUAUAUAUGGUAUGUGUACCAUCCAUGAUAUGCACUUGCUCCUGAUCUCAUGUUGGUCUUGUUUUUAUUUCAUGGCUUCCUAUUCGUGUAGUUCCAAUGUCAUUGGGUCUUGUUUGUAGAAUGAUGAGUCACGCCGCAGUUGAAAGUGGGCAUAAGUGGGACCGAUUGAGCCCAUCCCACUUAAUCAUCUUAGUGGGCACCCUUUGGACAACAGAAAAAAAAUAAGUGGGCUAUUCCAUUUAGCCCUCUGGGAGCCCAAUCUACAUAGUUUUCUCAAGUAAAAAAGGAAAACGAAUUACGGCGCCGCUUUCACGGGAUAGGGUUCGAUCCGCGCCCCUCUAGUUUGCCUGCAGGUGGCGCAAUGCUCCUCCUCUCGCCUCUCUUCUCCCUCGCCUUGUACGACGGAGAACUGACCACCGAGGUAACCCUGCCUCCUGCUCCGUCCUUCCCCUCUCCUCUCAUCCAAUGACCUUAUUCGUGGGCACCUUGGACAUAGGAUGAAGGAAGGGAGUGAUCGUCAGAUAGGAGAGAUGGGACCAUUUCCUCUAUCUCUACGAUAAAAUCAUCUGAGAGAGAGAGGAGCUUCGGGCUUAUUACAGUUUCAGAGUUGUACUGUACCACCUCAGUGGUGACUGUACCGUCGACAUGCCUUGACAGUUUCAGUCUUUCAGAGCUUUGGGCUUUAACAACAACCUAUUUCGUUACCUUGAUUAAACUUCUUGUUGACUUCCAUUUCUUUCCCUUAGCAUGUGAAUGCCUCUCUGUUUCCUGGAAGAUCAAUGCUUUUGUUUCAUUUUGCUCGAGUGUUUGUUGUGUUCAGCUCAGCUCAGCUCCUUGCCAUUUUCAUUCAACCAAGAAAGGAAUAAGGAAUCCUUGAUGUUUUUUGUAUACUGCUUUUGCCACAUCUUUCCUGGUUAAUUCUAGCUUGUUGCCUUGUUCUGUGAAUUAAUUCAUGCUACAUUUGUUUGGAUAGACUAGUAUUUAUAAGGUCAAGGGCCUGUGCUGGAGACUUUAUUCAAGUUUCUUUGAUGUUAACUGCUUGCACACCAAUAUCCUUAUAUACAAUUGUUUUUUAUGUAUAGGGUAAGAACAUGAUUUCAACGAUAGAGUAUGAUAAGUUACAACAAGUGCAUAAUUACAGACUUAUUUAUGUGUGCAAAAAUGGUGAAACCCCUUGCCGCAUUAUACCGGCAAUCUAUGGUUUAUUUUUUUUUAAUAGUAGCCUACUGAAAGUUUUUAAAAGAAAAAUAAGGGCUUAUGUUUUUCCAGCCCAACCAACUGGAGAUGUACAAAAGUACCAAUGUCCAAUGAGAAGCCGAACGAACACGUGUAGAAGUCUAGAUGUAGGCUGCUAGUGUUAAUGAGGUCCUUCCAAGUUUGUUUCUAGAAUAGUAGUACCCUUUAUUACUAUGUAUAAAAUAGAGAAAAAAACUUCUUGUCAAUACACACCUGAUCCCAUUUUUUCUGUAGUAGUCAGUGUUAGAUUCCAUCGCAAUGUUUUGAAACAUUUAAUUUCACACAAGUCAUCCCUUUCGUCUGUUGACUAUUUUGUUUCUUCCAAAAAGCUUCCUCUUUUGAUUUCUGACAAAGAUGUCUUAGCAAAACGAUAGCCAGUUGUUUCGGUGUUGGACAAAGAUGUGUGUUUAUGCAUGGUUUUGAUUCGAUUGCUUGCACAUAUCAAAGACUUUCUAGCAUCAUUAUCCAAAGGCAUUUUGAGCUCAGUGUUUGUGCCAAGUCAAAUAUGCUCAUCUCCUCGCCUUGUCAUUUCCAGCAGUGCUACCUUGGAGAUCAUGCAAGGAUCAUGAACAUGCUUAAUUUUUCAUUUUGACGUUGUCGGUUCGUUCGUUCUUUGCCCCAUGCUUGACAAAUAUGAAGGAUUUAUAGUUUUGCUAGUGCUAAUAGAUUUUAGUUGUUUUUCAGGUCAUGUCAUGGUAGUAGUUUAGUAGUACAUAGAUCAAAUAUAUAGAGAGAGCUAGUAUCUUAUAAUGCUUAGACAAACUAUAUUCAUUCUCUCAAUUGUUAAGUUGAAAAUACAUGAAGAUAUGUGUUAUGACUGAACUAUUGUGUGGAUGGGCUGGUGUGGGAUAUAUACUACAUUGUCCUGCUCCUCUGUACUCUUGUUGUGGGCAGCUGCUGAUCCUUUGUUUGUUUGAUUUUUUUUUGUAUGUUUGGAGUGAUCAUUGAGCAACUUGGCCAAGAACUCGCCCAACCUGAGGGUGGCCCACAUCAUAAUCAAAGAAGAUGGUGGUGGAUGAGACCGGUGCUGCUUUUGUGAUGAGCAAAACAAAAACUUGGUGGUCGCCGGCCGUGGCCUCCUGCGCGUGCGCAGCCGUAGUCUUGGCUAGUGGCCUCGGCUACAACUUGCAAAGGGAGCCCGUCCCUCUUCCUCCUCUGGUUCUCCCCCCUUGCUCUGAGCACAUGGACAUCGAGCCAUGGCUAUUUUACACCAGGUUUAAUGUCCAUGUCUGGUUAUGGUUUGGACUGGUGGUACAGUCAUGGCAUAAUGACUCCAGGUUAUGCUUGGAUGGAUUUAAUCUUUCUAAAAUAUGAGAUUUUUUGUAAAGAGCUAGUCUUGUAGGGUUUCAAUUGUCUAAAGAUUGUGGUUUUUAGAAGAUUGUUACCUUUCUGGUUUUAUGGCUGAUGUGGUCAGUAGAGAUCCAUGCGUGUUGUAUUUCCUAGUGGUGAUAUGAUGAACUAUAGAUUUGGAAGUUUGCUUUGUACAACUGCACUAUAGAGUUGGAUGUUUUUCGUGGUUGCGUGAUGUCGAUGAUGAUUACUGUGAAGCUUUCUCAAUGUAAUCACUAAUGAUUGCAUAACCUACUGCUUUCCUUCUGAGGCAUAAUGUCCCUCUCAAUUCUUCUCUCUUGAAAUAGUGGUUUUGCGUGAUCCCUUGUGACAGAAAUUAUUCAGACUUCAAGAUGCAAAGGUAAAACAAUUUUUGAUGCUGCUGUUUAGGUUAGAUAGUCACACUUUUAUUUCUGUCAAUUGCAUGGCAUGGUAUCUAGACUAGGUGUCCUUGAUGUUCUCAAUAUAUUCAUGCCUUUUUAUACCUUGAAUGAUCCAUCAGCAUCCUGUAAAGACUAGUCUCAUUGAUGGUAAUAUUUAUAAGUAUACAUGUUAUCAGAACACACAAAAUGAACCCUGUAUUGCUUUGUUCAUUUCAAUUUCGUGUAUUGUGCUAUUGUUUUACUCCGAGUUGGCCUGAUCCGGUUUUUUCCACAAAUGCAGGUGCCAUUGUUGUUGAUUCCAUUGUUCAUGGCCAUCUGAAAAGCUAAGGAACUGUUCAAACCUUGAAAUAAACUUGAACACCCUGCAGUUGUGUAAUUGAGGAGCCCCAUGACAUCAACAAGAAUGACGACGAUGAUGCGGAGGAGGAGGACCUCAACUACACACCACACAAAGUCCCUAUUGUUUGUCGGCAAUGGCUUCCUUGCCUGCAGCAGACCUGGACCCCAUGCCCAAGCUCACGAGGUCACCGUUGAGUCCGACCUCCACCUCGAUCAUGACGACGACGACCCGCACAAGGUCGAUCCCUACUUUACCACAAAUAUGUUCUUUCUUUUGUGAAGUAACAGUUCCUUGCUUUGUGUAAUGUUAAGAAACUGUUUGUUGAGACAACAAUUAUUCUCUCCCGGCUACAGGAACUGUUUAUAUGCAUUUGCUUAGGCUUGGAGCAUAACUCAUAAAUCAGUUACCUGUUUUGCGUAUCCUAUGAAUUUGAGCCUUAUCUGUUUGCUAUUUCUCCAUCUCAAAUCUCCAUCAGUAAGCUAAAAAAAGACUAGCUAGCUAAUCCUCUGUAAUUAGCUUGCUUCCCCCAUCUCACGCUGAAACCCUAGCUCUUCCCUUGGUGACGGAGAGGCUCACAUCAUGGAUCCUCUCCUCGAAGACAUCAACGGCCAAGGAAGGAGAAGCUGCUGCAUAGGUGCCAUCCUGUAGCCAUGGACGGCACUCAUAGCAUGUGCGAAGUCUGCUCCUUCCCCGCAUGGCUAGUUAGCACUUCUCCCGCCCAUGGAAGCAGCAGGCACCCUCCGCCGAUGACCUGGACCCCAUGCCCAAGCUGACGAGGAGGACAUCGUCGAGUCUGACGUCCACCUCGACCAUGAUGACGCCCCGCACAAGUUCAACUACUUGGUCGGUUGCCACUACUCUCUGCCUGAUGACCGGUUAUGGGCGAUCGGCAGAACAAGUGAGUUGACACUAGGUUACUUCCCUGUAAAAAACGAUCCCGCCGGAGGGCGGAGGCUGUCCUGGAAGGAGGCCACACAUGAGUUAUGAGGACCAUAUGCCUAGGUGGAAGCAGUCUUGAGAACCUUGGCCAAAACAAGGAAGUUUGAGAAGGCUAGUGGUAUGAGGAACAACCAUGGCUUCAAGGUUUAACUCAUGUAUGUGUACCAUCCAUGAUAUGCACUUACAUCCGGAUCUCUGUUGGUCUAUGCUUGUAGUUCCGACUUGAGCGGUAUGCCGUUUCCCAUCACACACAUGGAGCGGUCUUGUUCUUUUUGUUAUAUGUUGUGUAUGCUCGCCUCAUUCCUGAAAUUCCAACUACAUAUAUGUGGUCUGUGUACCAUCCAUGAUAUGCACUUACAUCCGGAUCUCAUGCUGAUCUUGUGUUUGUUUCCAAUGAUGCCCUCCUACUCUUGGGAGACCCUUUGUCGCCUACAUUGAUCGUGGUUGUUGUUUAUCAUAUUAAGAAAAUUGGUUUGUCAUGUGCCCUCAAAACAACUUGAUGAUAUGUAUGCAUCUUUUUAUGUCCAAACAGACUUUCCAUCAGAGAGACAUCUUUUUAUGUCCGAACUGACUCGACGGUCCUUUUGGAUUGCCAAAGGAGAUGAAUGAUUGGG
rnacentral:rRNA from 1 species